UCCAUACGUCUACGGUCCUGUGAUAGACAGACCAGGGGACUCCUCAGCUCAGAGUCCAUGAGGCCAGAAGCUGACAUCCUAAAUUUCUAUUUAGAAUGAAUUUAAGCAAGCCAGCCAAACAGUCUGCCGUGAAACUGUCGGGAAGACAAGUGGUGGGUUGGGGGGGAAGCCGGGUGCGGUAGGCUCACGCCUGUCAUCCCCGCACUUUGGGAGGCCAAGGGCAGGUGGAUCCCUCGAUCCAAGCCUUGGCAACAUGGUGAAACCUCGUCUCUAAAAAAAUACAAAAACUAACUGGUUCCAUAUCCUGGACUCAAAGUUAAUAAAUAGAUAAAUAGGCCGGGUGCGGUGGCUCACGCCUGUAAU
rnacentral:lncRNA from 1 species